GCUAUGUGAAUCCCUGGUGGUCCAGUGGAUGGGCUGUGACAACUCCCCUGUCAGCUCUGUUCUGCUCCCAGUGUAAAUCUCGCGGUCUGUGUGCUGCGUGCUCCGCUCUGACGGCCGCGAGUGUCGCGAGAUUUACACUGGGAGCAGAACGGAGCUGACAAGGGAGCUGCACGGAGGAGAAGGGAGCUGACAGGAGCUACAGGAAGGUAAG